rnacentral:rRNA from 1 species
GACAGAGGGUGCAAACGUUGUUCGGAAUUACUGGGCGUAAAGCGCGUGUAGGCGGUCCGGUAAGUCCGCUGUGAAAGUCGGGGGCUCAACCCUCGGAUGCCGGUGGAUACUGCCGUGCUUGAGGACUGGAGAGGAGACUGGAAUUUACGGUGUAGCGGUGAAAUGCGUAGAUAUCGUAAGGAAGACCAGUGGCGAAGGCGGGUCUCUGGACAGUUCCUGACGCUGAGGCACGAAGGCCAGGGGAGCAAACGGG